rnacentral:rRNA from 1 species
UCCGUAGGUGAACCUGCGGAAGGAUCAUAGUAAUCGUCUUUGACGUUCGCUUUUCCGUCGUCCUCGGGACGUUAAGGUGCUCUGGUCGAGGAUAAACGACCCCUCUGACCGAGGUGAAACCCGUCUCUCCGUGUUACCUCGAAAAACUGUUUUUCCGAGGCACACGUUAAAGAUUGUUCCGCGUUGUGAGUCUAACAUUGGUUGUAUGAACUUUUUACAACCGGUAGCGCUGGAUCCCUUGGCACGUCAUUCGAUGAAGACCGUUGCAAAUUGCGAUAAAGUGAUGUGAUGCGCAAGUCCACCACUUAUACGUGAAUCAUCGAGUUGUUGAACGCAUUGCACCGCGCCCUAAUCCGGCUGCGGUAUGCCCCUUUGAGCGUCAUUGUAUCCCUUCGGGAGUCCUUUUACAAGGACCCGAGUUCGGAGUCCUCGGUCCUCUCUGGAUCGUGUUCUCUCAGAUGCCUCGCGCCGAUCGCCUGAUGGGUCCUCUAAUGCCUAAGCGUGGAGUUCCUUCAGUCCAAGACGCGCUUGACCGGGUCUUGAGCCUGCGUCAUCAAGUCUGCCUAACCAGCGGUACUACAACGCAUGACCUCAUUGGGGUAGGACAACCCGCUAGACUUAAGCAUAUUAAUCAGCGGAGGAAAAGAAACUAACCAGGAUUCCCUCAGUAACUGCGAGUGAAGCGGGAUCGGCUCAAUGUGUGAAUCUGGCUUGGGGUACGUCCCGGGUCCGAGUUGUGCACUACGGAUGCUUCGUCUGCGUUUGUAAAGGCGGUGGAAGUCCGUUGAAACACGGCACCUCAGAGGGUCACAGUCCUGUACCGCCUGCCUGCACUCGCGCCAAUGACAAGUGCUCCUCGAGUCGCGUAGUUUUGUAAUGCUGCGCCAAGUGGGAGGUAGAGACCUUCUAAGGCUAAAUAUGAUGACGUGACCGAUAGCACACAAGUACCGCGAGGGAAAGGUGAAAAGCAACCAUGAAAAAUGGGUUGAAACAGUAGUGAAAGCGCUACCGGGAUAAGGGCUAUCGGGUGCUGGGGCUCUUUGGGUGUGCUUUAGUGCUACCCUCGGAGACGGCCCGCGAGGGUUGAUGUUGGGGCGAUAGACGCGCUGCAGGAAUUCGGCUGCCUUCGGGCAGUGUUGUAGCCUGCGGUUGCCGAUCCUCCUGCGACCUUGUGUGAUUGCGGGUCUUGCGACCGUUAGCCGCCCGUCUUGAAUCACGGACCAAG